CCCGUUCCGGGAAUAAUUGAUUUGUUCGUUCGCGCUUUAGAGUAACGAGUGCAAAAAAAGAACACCUGAAGACGAACUCGUGACAGCAAUUAUCGGAUAAAAUUAAGCUAAAGGAUGGAACGUACCGUUAAAGCGCCAGCAUAUGGGGUGCCAUCGUAUCUACCUGUUUCGACUGGGAGGUUAUGGUUAGCUGUUCUGAUUUUGAACAGGCUACUUCGCUCACGCUGAGGCAAAAGUAUCCGUAGGUCAGAAUAGGGAGCACAGUGUAGUCAAAGAGCUUUAUAAUGAGGUCGAUUGGGAGGCUGGCAUUGUUUGCCCUUGUGAAAAGGAACGUUUGAAGUGCUGUGUUGUGAAAAAUGGACUGUAGUUCGCUGGUUAUAAAUUCAACUGUUUCCUUAUCUUAACAGUGAUUACGAGUUCAUGAAGAAGAGACCAGAUUAACAGAUUAACGGGUAAAUAUACGUGCUAAAAUACUUAAUGC